UGGGGAAUAUUGGACAAUGGGGGGAACCCUGAUCCAGCCAUGCCGCGUGUGUGAAGAAGGCCUUAUGGUUGUAAAGCACUUUAAGCGAGGAGGAGGGUACUGGUAUUAAUACUACCAGCUACUGGACGUUACUCGCAGAAUAAGCACCGGCUAACUCUGUGCCAGCAGCCGCGGUAAUACAGAGGGUGCGAGCGUUAAUCGGAUUUACUGGGCGUAAAGCGUGCGUAGGCGGCUAAUUGAGUCGGAUGUGAAAUCCCCGAGCUUAACUUGGGAAAUGCAUUCGAUACUGGUUAGCUAGAGUGUGGGAGAGGAUGGUAGAAUUCCAGGUGUAGCGGUGAAAUGCGUAGAGAUCUGGAGGAAUACCGAUGGCGAAGGCAGCCAUCUGGCCUAACACUGACGCUGAGGUACGAAAGCAUGGGGAGCAAACAGG
rnacentral:rRNA from 1 species